AUUUAACCAGGUUAGUUCCAUUGAGAUAGAGAUCUCUUUUACAGGGGAGACCUGGCCAAUUUUUUUGAAGUCACCAGUUUACCUAAGGUGCGUGUCUU